rnacentral:misc_RNA from 1 species
UACAAGUGGCGGCGGUGGUGGCGCACGAGGGAUGUUGGUGUGGCCCAGCAUCGUUGCUCUUUCAUUAGGAACAUUUUGUCGGUUUAUCACUUCUCUUUAACUCCGUCUUUACAAAAAAGUAUAUACUUUGAAGAGUAGAUAAAUAUAGGGAGAAAUAUAUAAUAAAAAGAAGUUAUAAUAAGUGUACGGUGUGCUCUGCUGAGCGGUCGCCCGUUAUACGAAUCAUUGUUGAAUUAAUUCUUAAUAAUAGGUACGAACAUAAAUAAUAACGUGAUAAUGGCGCUAAACCCGAUGUAUCGGGAGAUCGGCGAAGGUUUCGUCAAGCAGUAUUAUCAGUUAUUCGACGACCCGGUUCAGAGGCCAAGCCUUAUAAACAUGUACAACGAGCAAACGUCGUUCAUGUCGUUCGAGGGAUUGCAGCUCCAGGGUGCUGCUAAGAUAAUGGACAAACUCAAUAGUCUGCCGUUCCAAAACAUCACUAGAGUCAUAACGACCAUAGAUUGUCAACCAAUGUUCGACGGUGGAGUUCUAAUUAAAGUGCUAGGAAGGCUGAAGACCGAUGAGGAUCAGCCCCAUGCGUACACCCAGACAUUUGUUCUGAAGCCGAUUGGCACCAGCUUUUUCGUGCAGCACGACGUCUUCAGACUCGCGUUGCACGACAGCGCCUAAGGUGGUUAAACGACAGUGUCGAUCGUUGUGGCGAAUCUUCCUGAAUCGUGGUAAUUGCCAGGCGGAUGACGAUCCACCUCAUCCAUUCUCGCAGAUAUUCGUGUUGUCGCCGUUGGCGAACUCAUACUUCUGUCAGCACGAUAUCUUCCGUCUCGGUAUCCACAACUCUGAGUAAAAAGUGAAGUAAAAAUUUUGUAAUAUUCACAAUCACUUGUCAAGAACAGAGAACAUAAUAAAACGAAAAGGACGUUUUGAGGUUCGUCGAUUGAGCGGUAAAACGAA